CUACGGGGUGCAGCAAUGGGGAAUAUUGGACAAUGGGGGAAACCCUGAUCCAGCAAUGCCGCGUGUGUGAAGAAGGCCUGCGGGUUGUAAAGCACUUUCGGUUGGGAGGACUGCUUCUAGCACUAAUAUUGUUGGAAGUUGACGUUACCUUCAGAAGAAGCACCGGCUAACUCCGUGCCAGCAGCCGCGGUAAUAGCGGAGGGUGCAAGCGUUAAUCGGAAUUACUGGGCGUAAAGCGCGCGUAGGCGGCUAGAUCAGUCGGGUGUGAAAGCCCCGGGCUUAACCUGGGAACUGCAUCCGAUACUGUCUAGCUUGAGUACAGGAGAGGAGAGUGGAAUUCCACAUGUAGCGGUGAAAUGCGUAGAUAUGUGGAGGAACACCAAUGGCGAAGGCAGCUCUCUGGCCUGAUACUGACGCUGAGGUGCGAAAGCGUGGGGAGCAAACAGGAUUAGAUACCCCAGUAGUC
rnacentral:rRNA from 1 species